AGAGAAGUGCGGUGAUAAAGCAGGUUUAAUAAAAGCCUCCGCCGCCUCGCGGUGCAGCUGCAGACAGAGAAAGGUUGGUUCUUGUGCGGUGGCAGGAUGCCGCCUCCAUAACUCAUGUGAGGUAUCACGAGGCGAGCUCAGGAAAAAUGGCACCAGGAGAAAACAAGUGUCCAGCCGCAGCUUGGUAUUAAAAUGACUCAUCUGCCACUGACAACACAUUAAACAUUGGACAAGAUUCUCCGGUCUCCAUUUAGUUACACAGUCCUUACCAAAAUUAAAUUUAUGGUUAGAGUUAGAGUUUUUUUUUCCUGAAAAAAAAGUUCGUCAUGAAUCUUUUACUUUUACAUCACACCAAACAUUGGUGGGAAUUGAGCGGCAACUCCACGUACACAAUCAACUGUAAUGGCGUCACAAACGCGAUUUUAGAUCAGGCGAUCUUUUCAGAUGCCUUCGCACCAACAAUGGAGGAAAAAACUCACCAUCGCCGUGUGUGAACUUCCGGUCCAGAGAGGGUGAUAUACAUUUUUUAUCGGAACGGAAUACAAAAGGGAGAGGAAUGGGCCGAAGUUAGCCAGGAGGUGACGCUCUCUGUCACAUGACCUGGGAGCUCAGCAGCUCGGCGGACGAUGCCGUGGACUUUCCACACGCAGGAGCUCCUGUGGUGACAGCGGCGGUGAAGGUGAGGACACACGUUUCCAUAACAAGAACAACAGUGUGUGUUCACACCAACCACUUCCUGUCAGGUGUAAAUUCUCUGUUGGAGCAGGUUCAGAGAUGCCGCCCACUCAUCUGUGCUGUUGGUCCUCUUGUCUUCUUCCUGUUUCUCUGAUAACUACCAGAUGAUGAAGCAGAGCUAAGGUCCCACUGAUGCUUCCUGAUUCUCACCAUUUCUGAGAGAAAUUCAGACGCCAUGGUCAGUGAAGCAUCAGGUCCAGAAUGGUUAAAACAAUCUGCAUGAAACGAGGCAUACCUGAUUUUCUCCAUGACUGAUGGUGGCCCUCCCCCCCCCCCCCCCCCACACCUCUGCCACUGAUGAUGGUCUGAGCUGUGACCAUGUCCAGGAAGCAAUUUAGCAGGACCUAAAAAGUCCUGACAAAAACGAGGGGCCCUCAGGUCAAAGGCUCACAUAUUUCCACCCUGGAUGAACUUCGACGACGUUUGGGAGAUUUUAGUUCCACAAAACCAAAAAUCUAAAAUAACAGGACAACAAUAUCAUUGGCUGAAAAUUCCACUGGUGCAAGAACUGGGACCUAAACCCUAACAGUUCCUCUCAGCACUCACAGAACCGAUGUUCUCUGACUGUGACGUUAAGCUAACGGUAAUCAGCCGCAUUAUUUACACCUGUUCCCGUUGUUCUUCAGUUUCUGUUUUUGGUGAGUUCAUGUGUGUGAAGUCCACCACGUGCACAGUCACCAACAAUGAACAGCAUAAAGGUGAGUUAAGUUUAAUUCCAGAGAACGCCCCCUACAGUUGUUAGAUUAAUAUUUUAGUCUUUCUUCUUCUUCUGUGUGUGUGGAUUUUCACCAAACCGUUCAUUAAUCUUCAUUCAGUCCAAUUUUAUGGAAUAAUUAUUGCCAAAAACUAGGCAUUACUCUGAGUUACUGUAAAAAAGAAUGAAAACUAAAUACUCCAAAGGAAUGAUGACAGAGGAUUUCUCUGGGCCGUCAGUUUAAAUACUCGUUUAUUUUUCUAGCAGUCCUGCCAAAUACUGCUUUAUUUAAUCAUUUGAAAUAAGAAAAGAAAAAUGUCUUUCCUGUGUGACCUCAAAUGAAACAAACAAAGAGUUUCUCAGUGGUUCGUUUAUGUUCUCGAGCCUCUCCAACAUUUCUGACUGUAAAUCAACCUCUGAAAGUCUGGGAAAUAAAUUCUCUGACCAAUUUUGUCAAGUGUAGAAGAGAUUUGUGGGCUAAAACGCAAUCAUGCACGACUCCAGUGAUGCUAGCAGAGACCUGGAGUUGGUUCAUGACAGAAGGCGGAGGCAGAGCCGAGGCGUGAGGUUUUAUCGUGGAUGAAAUGGAAAACUUGAAAAAUUAAGCUAAAAUCUUGUCAUCCUAAUUCACCAACAAAGCCAAUCUACUUCUUCUAUUUCUACCUGAUAUUUUCCCUUGUCUGUUUUACAUUUGUAAAGUUCUGGUCGAAGUAGUGAAAAAUUAUUAUCACUUCAUAAUGAACAACAUGUUCAGCAGUGAAUGAUUGUUUGUAAAUCCAGAAAUAUCCUGGUGCCCACAUGAUUCUGUUCUGCUGUUUUGGUGAUUGGUUUAUUUUCCCAGUGUAACUUCUUCUUCGACUGCUGUUUAUUUUAAUAGUGGUUUCAACGUGGUGUGUUUGUUCUGGGUGAAUUUAAAAAGAGUGAAACAAUAACAGAACCAGUCAGUCAGUCCUGCUGGACCUUCCUUUAGACUCAAAUUCUUAAUGAACCUUUCAAACAAACUUGGAGAACCACCGUCCAGAACAUUCCCUUGCUCUUUGAUGCCAUCGUUUUGAGUCUCAACAUGAACAAAGGAACUCUAAUUUUACUCUUCAGUUUCUUCACUGUACUUGUACCAGCUCAUGGUUCUUGUGCCAACUGACACUAAGGUCAGCGAUUGUCAUGUUCCAAAAUUGCCCAGGCCUUUGAUGUGGACAUAGCUGUGCAGACUUUGAUGUUUGAUCCCCAACAUAACCUGAAUCCACUGAUGAUUACCAAGAAAACAGAAUGAAUCUUUUAGCUGAGAGAAUUCCUCAAUUCCUUUAACAGUGGCCUGUGUCAUUAAGGUCUAAUGUUUUCCUCAUGUGUUUAUGACUUUAAUGUACCAGGAAAACAACGG